GACGAACGCUGGCGGCGUGCUUAACACAUGCAAGUCGAACGGAAAGGCCCUGCUUGCAGGGUACUCGAGUGGCGAACGGGUGAGUAACACGUGGGUGAUCUGCCCUGCACUUCGGGAUAAGCCUGGGAAGCUGGGUCUAAUACCGGAUAGGAGCCAUUUUUAGUGUGAUGGUUGGAAAGUUUUUUCGGUGUAGGAUGAGCUCGCGGCCUAUCAGCUUGUUGGUGGGGUAAUGGCCUACCAAGGCGGCGACGGGUAGCCGGCCUGAGAGGGUGGACGGCCACAUUGGGACUGAGAUACGGCCCAGACUCCUACGGGAGGCAGCAGUGGGGAAUAUUGCACAAUGGGCGCAAGCCUGAUGCAGAGACGCCGCGUGGGGGAUGACGGCCUUCGGGUUGUAAACUCCUUUCGCUAGGGACGAAGCUUUUUGUGACGGUACCUAGAUAAGAAGCACCGGCUAACUACGUG
rnacentral:rRNA from 1 species